rnacentral:lncRNA from 1 species
CCUUGCACUAGCAUUGCAAUAGCAUGUCUUGUUAUUCCAUGCCAGUGCUUGGCACACUUAGUCCAUGCUAGCAUGACAACAUGCCAAGUGCUAGAGCACAAGCUGUACCAUUCUACUGUUGCAUGCUUGUAUGGUUUAUGCACGAUAUCUAUACCAACUAGCACUUAAAUUCAUGGUCUUAAAAGAGGGCAGCCAAGUGUACAAGAGCACUAUUGCGGGGUCUAGGGAGGGUCAGGUGUAUGCAACCUUAGCCUCACGUGCAGAGUGGCUAUUCUAUGUUUUGAAACCAUGACCUCCAGGUCUUGAUUGAUGAUAAUGGACUAAUGCUUAAAGGUGUGUGGUGCU